rnacentral:rRNA from 1 species
CUGCCAGACUCCUACGGGAGGCAGCAGUGGGGGAUAUUGGACAAUGGGGGGAACCCUGAUCCAGCGACGCCGCGUGAGUGAAGAAGUAUCUCGGUCUGUAAAGCUCUAUCAGCAGGGAAGAAAGAAAUGACGGUACCUGAGUAAGAAGCCCCGGCUAACUCCGUGCCAGCAGCCGCGGUAAUACGGAGGAUGCGAGCGUUAUCCGGAUUUAUUGGGUUUAAAGGGUGCGCAGGCGGAGGUGCAAGUCAGCGGUCAAAUUGCGGGGCUCAACCCCGUACUGCCGUUGAAACUGCAUCCCUUGAGUGCGCGAGAAGUAUGCGGAAUGCGUGGUGUAGCGGUGAAAUGCAUAGAUAUCACGCAGAACUCCGAUUGCGAAGGCAGCAUACCGGCGCGCAACUGACGCUCAUGCACGAAAGCGUGGGUAUCGAACAGGAUUAGAUACCCGGGUAGA